AACGAACGCUGGCGGCAUGCCUAACACAUGCAAGUCGAACGAGACCUUCGGGUCUAGUGGCGCUCGGGUGCGUCACGCGUGGGAACCUGCCUGUAGGUUCGGAAUAACUCAGUUAAGUUUGAGCUAAUACCGGAUGAUGUCUUCUGACACAAGAUUUAGCGCCUUUGUGUGCGCCGGCGUUGGUUUAGCUUGUUGGUGGUGUAAAGGCCUAUGAAGGCUACGCUCCAUAGCUGGGUGGAGAGGAUGCGCAGCCACACUGGGACUGAGCCACGGCCCAGACUCUUACGGGAGGCAGGAGUGGGGAAUAUUGGACAAUGGGGUAAGGCAAGAUCCAGCAAGGCCGCGUGAGUGAUGAAGUUCGGAGGGAAGUAAAGCUGGUUUACACGAGACGAUAAUGACAGUAUCGGGAGAAUAAGCUCCGGCUAACUCCGUG
rnacentral:rRNA from 1 species